AUUUGUUGACAGCAACUGUCUGCAAAAUAAAUCUGAAAUUGUCAUUGACCUAGAGAUUUAAGAGAUUCAUUAAUUAUAACGUUCAGAAAAAUGCUUUUGUCCUUAUAAAUUAAAGUUUGCUAAAGUCGGCUAAGGGUAGAUAAUUCAAAAGAUCUACUAGCUUGGACAUUAAAAGACAUCACAGGUCGUCCAUAUCCAGACUAAGUUACUCAGGAAAGAAAUGUUAUGUCUUUAUGACCAAAUAGUUAUCGUUAUUACACACCAUAAAAUUUAUACCGUACCUGGCGAUAGUUUAAUUUAUUAUGUCACGCCUUUUACAAUGACUACAGACAGUACAGAUGCAGGCAAGGAAAAUACCAUCAAUUAUGCCAAACGAGGCAUACUAUAUACAAAGUAAUUUUUAUAUAUGCUUUUGUUCAUAUUCGAUAACAUUUCAUAUUAUAAUAUACCCGA
rnacentral:lncRNA from 1 species